GUAUUUACACUCUUCCAAGUCAUUUAUCACCUGAUGCUAGAGACCUGAUCCCAAGGAUGCUUGUAGUUGACCCAGUGAAACGAAUCAGCAUUCCUGCAGACUCAUCUUCCUCGUUAUCUUGCUGUUGCUCCACCAGAUACACUAGAGCAUGCCAAAAAGAUCAAUGAGGAGAUAGUUCAAGAAGUGGUUAACAUGGGAUUUGAUAGAAACCAGGUUAUGGAAUCUCUUCGCAACAGAGUACAAAACGAUGCUACUGUUACAUACUACUUGUUACUGGACAACAGGUUCCG